CGAGCACGUCUAACUUGGACGCUACAACAGCGUUACGUCCAAAUUAAACGUGCUCAUACUCACUGACUAUUACAGAAAAAACAAUCUACACAGUUUGUUUUUUUCGUGACGUUUACGCUUCAUGAUUACAACCGAGACCAACGGGGACCAGGUGACAUAAUCCACAAUGAGGCACAAAUCGAGAGCGACUACCCACUGCCCCCAGGACAGCGGCCUCCUCCAUCUCCACAGCCUGAUGCUCUGGAAAAUAGGCGACAGCUGCCCCCUGAUCAGCCUCCGCCAAAUAAUCAGCGCCAGUGUGAGCCGAUGGACCAGCGUGGUCAGAAUAGGCGCCAGCGACAACCUACAGGUGGACAGCGACCGCCAGUGAAUCGAGUUGGGCCACGCCGAGGAGGUCGACAGCAGAGGUGGGCAUACCACGAACGCGCACAUCGCAAUGCGAUGGCCCGUUUAGUUGAUACGUUGUAUCAGAUCUCUAAUCCGUACCGCGGACGGCGCAUUGGGCUCAGCCAUUAUGACCAUGGGCCAUUGACCGAUAAUGAAAAAAAUUGAUAUCGAUUAAUAAUAAAAAUGAAAAAAUUUCGAAAAGUUGAUUAAAAUUAAAAAAAAUUCA